rnacentral:rRNA from 1 species
UACGUAGGGUGCGAGCGUUAAUCGGAAUUACUGGGCGUAAAGCGUGCGCAGGCGGUUUUGUAAGCCAGAUGUGAAAGCCCCGGGCUCAACCUGGGAAUGGCAUUUGGGACUGCAAGGCUAGAGUGCGGCAGAGGAGACUGGAAUUCCUGGUGUAGCAGUGAAAUGCGCAGAUAUCGGGAAGAACACCCGUGGCGAAGGCGGCUCUCUGGGACGGUACUGACGCUGAGACGCGAAAGCGUGGGGAGCGAACAGG